AAAAUACAUGUACUUUGAUCAAGUUCCUUGUUUUCUGACAUUUUCUAGUGAUGCAAGCUCAAAACGCCCCAAUUUUGCAUAAUAUCAAGAAAUAUUAUUCAAUUUGUCUGCAUGCCAAAAAUUUAUUUCGGAUCCAUAAUCGAUUUUUUAUUUGGUCAUAUGAAUGUUAAUUAUACUUGCCCAAGAGACUUGGUAUCAUGUAAAAAUUUGUACAUAUAAAGUUAUACUAGAUUAUUGCUUUUGUUUGCAAAAAAUUUACAUUACCAAUUACCAAGACCCCUUGAUGUGCUUUUUUUGCAUGCUGUACAGGAUAUUGUUUUUACCAAAGUCUCAUGAUUUUGUCUUAUAAUUUAUAUAUUUAUUUUUUUACCUUUGUAAUAAAUGCUAUGCAGGGUAGUUGUUAAUCCUACACGUUCUAAUGUGGAUUAUUUUUUUUUUUUUAUUGAGCAUUCAAACAAGUGCUCAACGAAAGUAUCUGAAAAUUGUCAACAAGGUACAAGACUUAUUUUAAUAAAGGCGUUUGUCAG
rnacentral:misc_RNA from 1 species